CGAAUUGAUGAUAGUAUUUUUGUUGCCCGAGUCAUACUCCUGCAAUUUUUCUUAUUACAAUAUGGUAAUUGACAUUCGUAAUUAUCAGAUUU